rnacentral:rRNA from 1 species
CCUACGGGAGGCUGCAGUCGAGAAUCAUUCACAAUGGGGGAAACCCUGAUGGUGCGACGCCGCGUGGGGGAAUGAAGGUCUUCGGAUUGUAAACCCCUGUCAUGUGGGAGCAAAUUAAAAAGAUAGUACCACAAGAGGAAGAGACGGCUAACUCUGUGCCAGCAGCAGCGGUAAUACAGAGGUCUCAAGCGUUGUUCGGAAUCACUGGGCGUAAAGCGUGCGUAGGCUGUUUCGUAAGUCGUGUGUGAAAGGCGCGGACUCAACCCGCGGACGGCACAUGAUACUGCGAGACUAGAGUAAUGGAGGGGGAACCGGAAUUCUCGGUGUAGCAGUGAAAUGCGUAGAUAUCGAGAGGAACACUCGUGGCGAAGGCGGGUUCCUGGACAUUAACUGACGCUGAGGCACGAAGGCCAGGGGAGCGAAAGGGAUUAGAUACCCUAGUAGUC